GAUGAACGCUAGCUACAGGCUUAACACAUGCAAGUCGAGGGGCAGCAUGAUUGAAGCUUGCUUCAAUCGAUGGCGGCCGGCGCACGGGUGAGUAACACGUAUCCAACCUGCCGAUAACUCGGGGAUAGCCUUUCGAAAGAAAGAUUAAUACCCGAUAGUAUAGUAUUUCCGCAUGGUUUCACUAUUAAAGAACUUCGGUUAUCGAUGGGGAUGCGUUCCAUUAGAUAGUUGGCGGGGUAACGGCCCACCAAGUCAACGAUGGAUAGGGGUUCUGAGAGGAAGGUCCCCCACAUUGGAACUGAGACACGGUCCAAACUCCUACGGGAGGCAGCAGUGAGGAAGAUUGAUCAAUGGACGAGAGUCUGAACCAGCCAAGUAGCGUGAAGGAUGACUGCCCUAUGGGUUGUAAACUUCUUUUAUACGGGAAUAAAGUGGAGUAUGCAUACUCCUUUGUAUGUACCGUAUGAAUAAGGAUCGGCUAACUCCGUG
rnacentral:rRNA from 1 species